GACGAAGCGUCCAAACGUUAUUCGGAAUCACUGGGCUUAAAGGGUGCGUAGGCGGCGCGGAAAGUUGGGUGUGAAAUCCCUCGGCUCAACCGAGGAACUGCGCCCAAAACUACCGUGCUCGAGGAAGAUAGAGGUGAGCGGAACUUAGGGUGGAGCGGUGAAAUGCGUUGAUAUCCUAAGGAACACCGGUGGCGAAAGCGGCUCACUGGAUCUUUUCUGACGCUGAGGCACGAAAGCUAGGGUAGCGAACGGG
rnacentral:rRNA from 1 species